CCUCGCGGACAGGCCUUCAGCCUUCGCAGACUGAGAAACUACAACUCCCAGAAUCCCUUGCCAGACCCGAGCCUGCGCCGUUGCCAUGGCGCCCAAGGCGGGGCAGCCGUGUUCGGGCACUUCCGACGUCACAAGGGAGGUCCGGAGCCGCGCCUCGUCUGGGAGAGUGUGUUCGGCUCUCGCUCUCCCCUUCUCAUCGCCUCGUUCUGCAGGAUCCUUGGCUUCGUGGAAAUGUGCGUUUGUAAAGAAGCCAAGGGAUUUUAAGCUCCGAGCUUUCGCCAUCUUCCGUUUCGUACUCGGACGUCGAGGCGGCACACGAUGGGGCAGCAGGGGUCGCGGCGACGUGCGCUGCCCGACACACAGCCUUGCUACAAACGCGGCCGGCCGGAAGUUCCCGCGCUCUGAGCGAACCUCGAGGUGGCAGGCGGGAUCCCGCUCGCCAGACACGUGUCCGUGGCCUCACGCGUGCGCCCCCUUACUCCGAGAGUGGCUGUAUUGCUCCUUUACAGGUGGGGCAGGCUGUAACCUAGCGCGUGUGCCUCCGACACCCCUGCCGCACGCCGAAGGAGGACUGGGGAGCUGUGAGUCCCAGCACACUGCGGGACACGGCGCCAGUUCGAGACCCAGCUGCUCCACAUCCAAUCCAGCUCUCUGCUAUGGCCUGGGAAAGCAGAAGAUGGCCCAAGUCCUUGAGCCCCUGCAGCCACGUGGGAGACCUGAAAGAAGCUCCUGGCUUCGGAUCCAUGCAGCUCCAGCCGUUGCAGCCAAUUGGGAAGUGAACCAUUGGAUGGAAGACCUCUCUCUUUCUCUCUCUGCCUCUCGUCUCUCUAUGUAACUCUUUCAAAUAAAUAAAUUUUUUUAAAAAACAGUUAGAAAAAUUAUAUUUUUUAAAGAUUUAUUUUAUUUAUUUAAAGGGCAGUAGUCACACAGACAGGCAGAAAGAUCAUCCAUCCACUGGUUCACUCCCCAAAUGGCUGCAACAGCCAGGGCUUGGCCAGGCUGAAGCCAGGAGCUUAAUCCAGGUCUCCCACAUGGGUGCAGGGACCCAAGCACCAUCCUCUGCUGUUUUCCCAAGCAUAUCAGCAGACAACUGGAUCAGAAGUGGGGCAGCUGGGAUUCAUACCGGGGCCUGUAUGGGAUGUUGGCAUUGCAAGAGGCAGCUUAACCAGUUAUACCACAACGUGGCCUCCAAAAAUUGUAUUUUUCACUACAUGGAUAUUUUCACGAAGUUAUCUCAAUUUCUACUAUUUGUUUUACAUAGCAAAACCAAAGAGAAAUUGAGAGGGAAGAGAACAACAUGUAUCCAGGUGUGUUCAGUGAUUUGCAUAUAAAAAAUGUUCUGAUGUCACAGUAACCUGAGUCUAGACUUAAAAAGGUUAAAGCUGAUAUAAAACCUUUAGUAAGAAUUAUAGAAAGCAGAUUCAUGAUGUGACAGCCUCCAAGAUUAUUGGAGGUCAUCUGGACUCACGUUUAACCAAGGAGGAGUAUCGUAAUUACGUGUAAAAAUUAACAGCAAAAAAGAUACAUCUGUUCUGUAAUUUUUAAUCAGGGUAACUUUUACCCCUUAGAACUGUUAAACAGUAGAUUAUUUUGCAAGUAAACAAACCUCUCUACUAUUGAAGUAAAAUGUUCACCAAGAGAGAUGUUUAAAUACGGUUCUAUUAUUUGUAGGCAGAUGGCCGGCAAGUUACUAUGUCGCCAUGAAGAUCCCUCUGAUCCUAAAGGAUUCUAUUUUUGAGCUCAUCCUUUUUGACCACCUGUCAAUGAAUCUUUUUGCAGAAGGGAUCUGAUCUAUAGACCAGAGCUGUCCAACAGAACUUUAUGCAAUGAUGGAAAUGACCUACAGCGCUAAGUCCAAUACAACAGCCACCAAAUGUGGGUACUGAGCACUUGAAACGUAACCACUGCAUCUGAGAAGCAGAAUUUUAAAUUUUAUAUAAAUUAAGGUUAUAUAGCUGUAUGUGGUUAGUGGCUACAGUAUUACUGCAGUUACAGAAAAAGGUACUCUUGCAUUGGAUGGAUGAAAGGCCAAUCAAAUGAAUCUCUUUUCUAAUUUCCCGAGUUUACAGUUUUAAAACUAUUUUUAAGUAAUAAUAUAAUGCAUUUACUUCAACUGAAUUUAUUACUUCAGAGACCAAUGCUAGACUGGGAAACAAACCAUCAUAGUAAAUACCGUUUACAAACCCUUAAAUGGGUUUUGUACAAACACUGAUACAGACUUACCUGGAGAACUAGGUGCUGUGAGUGCUGAGGAGUGAGGCUGACUCUCUGAAGUACAAACUUCACUCUGAUUAAGAACAACUUCUAAAUGUCUCCACCUCUGGUAACGACUAUAUUCUUGUUUUAUGUUCUGAAAAAUUUGCUCUAAUAAAAAAGAAACAUACUUGAGUAUUUAUCGUGUCAUUUCUUCAAACUUUAAAAAAUUUUACUACUUUUCAUUUUAUUUGAAAGGCAGAGAUAGAGACAGACAGAGCUGCCAUCUGCCAUGUUCAUUCCUGAGCUGCAACAACUGAGGCUGAUCCAGGAUGCAGCUGGGAGCCAGGAACUCAAUCCCUGUCUCCCAUGUGGGCAGCAGGGAGCCAAGUACUGCAGCCACCACUCGCUGCCUCCCAGGGUGUGUAUUAGCAGGAAGCUGGAAUUAGAAGUGGAGCUGGAAUGGGAACGCAGGUACUGUGAUAUGGGAUGUGCAUGUCCCAAGCAGUGUCUCAGUUACCACUGCAUCCAGCACCUUCCUCCUCCUCCUCACUCUUUGCUUAGAAGAGGAGACAAGGAAGGUAUUUCACUGGGAUUUAGAUACUCCGUUUAGCAUACAAGUUCAAUCUUUUCCCUCUCCCCAUGUUAUUAAUAUUAAUGAGUUAAAAUGCUUAUACUGUACAAAGCACUUCUAUAUCCCUAGACAGCAUGCUUUUAUUGCCCCAUUUCAACAAUGCACAGAACCAAAGCUAUUUUGGCAUAAACCACUUAGUUCACUUGCUUCCUGUGGCAGUGAGACCAGAUCAGCCAUUUGCUAGACUAACUAGUACAAUUUAUGGUAAAUGAUGAACUUUAUUUUACCUAAUGGGGAGUUAUCAUUGAUCUUUUAAGUUUUACAGUUUCACAAACCAGGAUAUUAAGUAGAGUCUCUUACCAUCCAAGGCUUUCUAAUAAUGAAGUCCUAGGACAGCAGAAACUAUUACAUUCACAGCCUGGUCAGUGCCCAGGCAAACAGCUGCAAUUUAAUGCUUUGAAAUGGUGGUCAGGGCUUAGAAAAGAAUUCUCUGAUCCUACAAGAGGUAGUAUUUGUUAAGACUCAGAUUAUUGAUUACUAUUCUGACUCAAGGUGCUUACACAUCAGAUUGGCUAACACUACUACAGGGAGUCCAGGAAACAUUACUAACCACCUUGAAGAAUGCUUCCAGGGGCAACAAAGAAUCUGCAAGGAUGUGGUUUUCAAGUUUUUUGUUUUUGUUGUGUAAUUAUAAUUAUAUUCACUUUCCAAAUAACAGCGCUUCCUAAUUAAAAAAACAAAAACAAAACAAACCUGUACCCUCUCCUUCCUUAAGUGAUUCUAAUGUAUAUUACUUUUUUAAAUAGGAAGUGUUAAUAAUGCCAGCUUGCUUAUUAGCUGUGUGACUGUAACCUUGGACGUCUAAGUUUUGAUAUAAAUGCCAAAUGCCUAUCUGGUAAGGUAGUAAGAACCACAAGCAAAAAUAAUAAUGCCGUAACAAGUGACAGCAUAUUCCAGGAACUGUCAUGAACGAAAAGUACCUCCACACGCGGUUCAAACAACCUAACUCUCAAUCUACACACUAGAUCAAUAUAAGAUUAGCAAGGUUUUCCUUUAAGAGCGCUAUGAAGUUCACACUUUAGACCCCUGAAUGUAGAAAUCUUCAUUUUUAAAAUGUACUAUUCCUCAAGCACACACUGGCCAGAAUCAAUACCAGGAUGUGAGGAACUGCAAAGACACGAAACAAGAAAGAACAAGUGUGAGGACAGUGCUCAGGAGAACAGCUGUUCUUUGAUAACCUCUUCACUGUCUCUUGUAUGGCAAAGUGAACAAACGGAAACAUAAAACUUUAAGGGUAGUAAGGACUAGCAAGCUCAGAAAUCUAACCAAAACAAGGAAGCAGAUGUCAUUUUCUUCUGAAAAGGGCCACAUGAAACAGGAAACAGCACUUUUUAAAAAAAAGGGAAAAUGCUAAUUUCUUUUUAACAGUGGAUAAUUUGAAUCCUUGCCUCCCAUGAUUGAUAAACCCUGUGCUUCCAGCUUUUAUCAGGCUAAA